UGAGGAAUUUUGCGCAUUGGGCGAAAGCCUGACGCAGCGACGCCGCGUGGAGGAAGACGGCCUUCGGGUUGUAAACUCCUGUCAGAGGUGAAGAACGCCCGCAAGGGCUUGACGGUAACCUCAGAGGAAGCCCCGGCUAACUACGUGCCAGCAGCCGCGGUAAUACGUAGGGGGCGGGCGCUGCUCGGAAUUACUGGGCGUAAAGGGAGUGCAGGCGGCCGGUUAAGUCGAAGAUGAAAUCCCGAGGCUCAACUUCGGAACGGUCUUCGAUACUGAUCGGCUUAAGGCUAAUUGAGGAGAGCGGAAUUCCCGGUGGAGCGGUGAAAUGCGUAGAUAUCGGGAGGAACACCAGAGGCGAAGGCGGCUCUCUAAACUAGUCCUGACGCUGAGACUCGAAAGCUAGGGGAGCAAACGG
rnacentral:rRNA from 1 species